rnacentral:rRNA from 1 species
UACGUAGGUGGCAAGCGUUAUCCGGAAUUAUUGGGCGUAAAGAGCGCGCAGGUGGUUAAUUAAGUCUGAUGUGAAAGCCCACGGCUUAACCGUGGAGGGUCAUUGGAAACUGGUUGACUUGAGUGCAGAAGAGGGAAGUGGAAUUCCAUGUGUAGCGGUGAAAUGCGUAGAUAUAUGGAGGAACACCGGUGGCGAAAGCGGGUUCCUGGACAUUAACUGACGCUGAGGCACGAAGGCCAGGGGAGCGAAAGGG